UGAAGCGCGGCGGGAGAGUUCCGCUCGAAUCCACGGGCGGACGCCGAAGGAGCAAGUCCCUCCCCGGGAAUCUCUCAGGCAUCCGUACCGCCGCGAAGAG
rnacentral:ncRNA from 2 species